AGAGUUUGAUCCUGGCUCAGAAUGAACGUUGGCGGCGUGGAUUAGGCAUGCAAGUCGUACGGGCCGCAAGGCCAGUGGCGCAAGGGUGAGUAAUGCGACGGUAACCAACCCCAUGAUUGGGUAUAGCCGCGGGAAACUGCGGGUAAUCCCCAGCGACGUCCCGGGGGGGCAUCCCCCGGGGACCAAAGUUCCGGCGUCGUGGGACGGGCCGUCGUGGUAUUAGGUUGUUGGCGGGGUAACGGCCCACCAAGCCUGCGAUGCCUACCGGGCGUGCGAGCGUGGCCCGGCACACUGGGACUGAGACACUGCCCAGACUCCUACGGGAGGCUGCAGUCGAGAAUCUUCGGCAAUGGGCGCAAGCCUGACCGAGCGACGCCGCGUGGAGGAUGAAGGCCUUCGGGUUGUAAACUCCUGUCGAGGGGGAAGAAGGGCCGCAAGGCCUUGACUUAUCCCUGGAGGAAGCACGGGCUAAGUUCGUGCCAGCAGCCGCGGUAAGACGAACCGUGCGAACGUUAUUCGGAAUCACUGGGCUUAAAGCGCGUGUAGGCGGGACGGCACGUCGGUCGCUGAAAUCCCCCGGCUCAACCGGGGAACGGGCGCCGAUACGACCGUCCUGGAGGGACGUAGGGGGACCUGGAACUUCCGGUGGAGCGGUGAAAUGCGUUGAGAUCGGAAGGAACGCCCGUGGCGAAAGCGAGGUCCUGGACGUUUUCUGACGCUGAGACGCGAAAGCCAGGGGAGCGAACGGGAUUAGAUACCCCGGUAGUCCUGGCCGUAAACGAUGGGCA
rnacentral:rRNA from 1 species